ACUUCUGGAUACAGCUUUACCACCUACUGGAUCAGCUGGUUGUGCCAGGCUCCAGGGCAAGGCCUGGAGUGGUUGGGGAGGAUUGGUCCUGGUGAAUCGGGUAUGCCAUAUGGCCCAUCCUUCCAAGGCCAUGUCACACUCUCUACUGAAAAAUCCACCAGCAUCGCCCACCUGCAGUGGAGCAGCCUGAAGUCCUCAGACACUGCUGUGUAUUACUGUGCCAGAGACACA